rnacentral:rRNA from 1 species
CCUACGGGGGGCUGCAGUGGGGAAUAUUGGACAAUGGGGGGAACCCUGAUCCAGCCAUGCCGCGUGUGUGAAGAAGGCCCUCGGGUUGUAAAGCACUUUCAGCGAGGAAGAACGCCUGGUGGUUAAUACCCAUCAGGAACGACAUCACUCACAGAAGAAGCACCGGCUAACUCCGUGCCAGCAGCCGCGGUAAUACGGAGGGUGCGAGCGUUAAUCGGAAUUACUGGGCGUAAAGCGCGCGUAGGUGGCUUGAUAAGCCGGUUGUGAAAGCCCCGGGCUCAACCUGGGGACGGCAUCCGGAACUGUCAAGCUAGAGUGCAGGAGAGGAAAGUAGAAUUCCCGGUGUAGCGGUGAAAUGCGUAGAGAUCGGGAGGAAUACCAGUGGCGAAGGCGGCCUUCUGGACUGACACUGACACUGAGGUGCGAAAGCGUGGGUAGCAAACAGGAUUAGAUACCCGAGUAGUC